rnacentral:lncRNA from 1 species
GUGAGAGUGGGGAGCACAGCAGAGCAGAGCCCUCGGGGCUAGACAGAGCUGCAAGCUCAAUCUGUGCUGGGUACGUCUCCUUGUUAGUUGAACCAGGAGCUGGGGACCGAACCCAGGGCCCUGCGCUUGCUAGGCAAGCACUCUAUCACUGAGCCAAAUCCCCAACCCCAAAAGGAUGUUUUGUUAAAGUAGACAUGUGAAAGAAUGUUUUGCUGAGGUAGACACAGCUGAAAUGAUAUUUUGUUAAAGCAGGCAUGCAAAAGGACACAUGAUGUUUAGAAGGAAUAUAAAUAUAACCCAGCGGACGGUGGGUGAUGCUGGAUGGUAUUGGUACACUUUACCACUGCUUACUGAGGAUCAUUUGUCAGGACUCCAUUGAGAGAAAUGGGCCAAAAAACUGCUGGUGGCGCUCUGGUGGCUUUCUGCUUCUGUGAACUUGAGUCAACUGACAAAGUAAAAUAAAAGUUUCUGGAAGAUGUCAGCAGAUACAGACUUACCUAGAGUUUUGCUAAGACAGACUCAGUGUUUACUGAGGAAAGACCCGUGGAAGGACACAUGAUGUUUGGAGGGAGUAUAAACAGGACUUAAUGGACAGCAAUGGUGGGCUU